rnacentral:rRNA from 1 species
AAUCGGGAGUGGCAGACGGGUGAGUAACACGUGGGAACAUACCCUUCGGUUCGGAACAACGCCGGGAAACUGGCGCUAAUACCGGAUACGCCGGCAUCGUGAGGUGCUGGGAAAGGCUUUGCUGCCGGAGGAUUGGCCCGCGUUCGAUUAGCUAGAUGGUGCGGGUAACGGCCCACCAUGGCGACGAUCGAUAGCUGGUCUGAGAGGAUGGCCAGCCACAUUGGGACUGAGACACGGCCCAA